rnacentral:pre_miRNA from 1 species
UAUAAGGGAUUUUGAGGUUUUGCUUGCAACGUUUGACCACUCGUCUUAUUCAAAAUUUUUUGAAAUUAUUAUUUAUUUUAUUUGUGACUUACUUUAUUAUCCACAAUACUUUAAGCACAACUUUUCAUUUUUUAUAUUUGCAAAAAAAAUGAAUAAAACGAGUAGUCAAACGUUGCAUGCAAAAACUCAAAAUCCCUUAUA